rnacentral:rRNA from 1 species
CCUACGGGAGGCAGCAGUAGGGAAUAUUGCACAAUGGGGGAAACCCUGAUGCAGCAACGCCGCGUGCGUGAGGAAGUAUUUCGGUAUGUAAAGCGCUAUCAGCAGGGAAUAGAAAAGGCGGUACCUGAUAAAGAAGCCCCGGCUAACUACGUGCCCACAGCCGCCGUUAACCGUAGGGGGCAAGCGUUUACCGGAUUUACGGGGUGUUAAGGGUUCGUAAACGGAAAGGCUAGUCAGAAGUGAAAGCCCAAGGUUCAACCAUAGGACCGCUUUGGAAACUACCAAACUAGAGUAAGAGAGAGGUAAGAGGAAUUCCUAGUGAAGCGGUGAAAUGCGUAGAUAUUAGGAGGAACACCAGAGGCGAAGGCGUCUUACUGGAUCGAAACUGACGUUGAGGCUCGAAAGCGUGGGGAGCAAACAGGAUUAGAUACCCUGGUAGUC